rnacentral:rRNA from 1 species
AACGAACGCUGGCGGCAUGCCUAACACAUGCCAGUCGAACGAGACCUUCGGGUCUAGUGGCGCACGGGUGCGUAACGCGUGGGAACCUGCCCUUAGGUUCGGAAUAACUCCCCGAAAGGGGUGCUAAUACCGGAUAAUGUCUUCGGACCAAAGAUUUAUCGCCUUUGGAUGGGCCCGCGUUGGAUUAGCUAGUUGGUAGGGUAAAAGCCUACCAAGGCGACGAUCCAUAGCUGGUCUGAGAGGAUGAUCAGCCACACUGGGACUGAGACACGGCCCAGAAUCCUACGGGAGGCAGCAGUGGGGAAUAUUGGACAAUGGGCGAAAGCCUGAUCCAGCAAUGACGCGUGAGUGAUGAAGGCCUUAGGGUUGUAAAGCUCUUUUAACCGGGAUGAUAAUGACAGUACCGGGAGAAUAAGCUCCGGCUAACUCCGUG